AUACACACACACAUAUACAUAAAUCUAGACGUGGGUUUUCAAGAAUUUGAAUUCCUGAGGAAUAUAUCUUGAUCUGCUUUUCUGAUCCUUCAGAUUUUUGGUUAUAUAGAUACUUAAAUGUUUCAUAUUUCUGUUCACAUUUGAUUAUCUUUUUUAAUUUUAAUAACAUUGCUGGUUUUCAAAGAGUUGAACAUUGUGCGGAUUCAUUUGAAUUUGGGUUUUCUGGGUCUUCGUCAUUUAUCUAUAUAUUUAUUUUUCUAUCUCUAUGAUAGUUUAGUUUUAUUUUGAGAGUGCUAAAGAGUGGUCUUUUGUUAAUUUUGAUGAUUUGUCGAAAGGGUAAUGUUUGGUGAAAUUUGUGCCUUUUGGAUGUCGAGGCUUUUUAUUCAGAAAAAAAUUAUAUAAUUUAUAUGGUUCUUG
rnacentral:lncRNA from 1 species